CCUCCUCCGUCCCCUGUCCCCGCCCCUGUGGCAGGGCCCGGCGGGGGGGCUGGGCCCGGCCCCUGUCCCGCCGGGCGGGACGGGAAGGGGCGGUGGCGGCGGCCGGGAGCGGGCCCGCUGCAAGUUUCGCCCGGAGUGGGAAAGUUGGGCCCCGGCAGGACCCGGCCGGGUGAGGACUUUCUAAUGUGCGUGCCCUUUGGCAUGUCGGUGUCGGUUUCUGUGUUUCUUGAGCAGUUCGGGGCUUCCACAGUGGCUUGGCUGGGACAUUUAUGCUGGUACAACUUCAAGACAUUUAAGAGUACAUUGGAGUGAACUGGCAGGAAGCCUUUCAGCACCGCAGUGGCAAUAACACUGGCUGUCCUCUGGAGAUGCUGAAGCUCAGCUUUAUUUUCAACUUCUUUCUUACGCUUCCCGACUUGCGCACAAAGGGCUUAACAUUGAUUGGCAUUCAUACAGUAUAAAAUAGCCAUGGUUAUGGUUUUUUUUCCUCCCUUUAUUUGACACCUG
rnacentral:lncRNA from 1 species